rnacentral:misc_RNA from 1 species
AGCAGCCGCGGUAAUUCCAGCUCCAAUAGCGUAUAUUAAAGUUGUUGCAGUUAAAAGCUCGUAGUUGAAUUUCGGGGUCAGCAGGCUGGUCGUGCCAAUGGUAUGCACUGGCCUUGCUGAUUCCUCCCUCUUGAUGAGCCGUAAUGUCAUUAAUUUGGUGUUGUGGGGAAUCAGGACUGUUACUUUGAAAAAUUGAGUGUUAAAGCAGGCAAGCGCUUGAAUACAUUAGCAUGGAAUAAUGAAA